UGGCGGACGGGUGAGUAACGCGUAAGAACCUGCCCUUGGGAGGGGGACAACAGCUGGAAACGGUUGCUAAUACCCCAUAGGCUGAGGAGCGAAAGGAGGAAUCCGCCUAAGGAGGGGCUUGCGUCUGAUUAGCUAGUUGGUGAGGCAAUGGCUUACCAAGGCGACGAUCAGUAGCUGGUCUGAGAGGAUGAUCAGCCACACUGGGACUGAGACACGGCCCAG
rnacentral:rRNA from 1 species